rnacentral:rRNA from 1 species
ACGGCUCAGUAACACGUGGACAACCUGCCCUUAGGUUGGGUAUAAACCCGGGAAACUGGGUAUAAUACCCGAUAGGUCUCGAUUGCUGGAAUGCAUCGAGAUUUAAAGCUCCGGCGCCUAAGGAUGGGUCUGCGGCCUAUCAGGUAGUAGUGGGUGUAGCGUACCUACUAGCCUACGACGGGUACGGGUCGUGAGAGCAAGAGCCCGGAGAUGGAUUCUGAGACACGAAUCCAGGCCCUACGGGGUGCAGCAGGCGCGAAAACUUUACAAUGCUGGCAACAGCGAUAAGGGAACCUCGAGUGCCAGGUUACAAAUCUGGCUGUCGAGAUGCCUAAAAAGCAUUUCAUAGCAAGGGCCGGGCAAGACCGGUGCCAGCCGCCGCGGUAACACCGGCGGCUCGAGUGGUAACCGUUAUUAUUGGGUCUAAAGGGUCUGUAGCCGGCCGGAUAAGUCUCUUGAGAAAUCUGGCAGCUUAACUGUCAGGCUUUCAGGAGAUACUGUCUGGCUCGAGGCCGGGGGAGGUGAGAGGUACUUCAGGGGUAGGGGUGAAAUCUUGUAAUCCUUGAAGGACCACCAGUGGCGAAGGCGUCUCACCAGAACGGACCUGACGGCAAGGGACGAAAGCUAGGGGCACGAACCGGAUUAGAUACCCGGGUAGUCCUAGCCGUAAACGAUACUCGCUAGGUGUCGGCCACGGUGCGACCGUUGUCGGUGCCGUAGGGAAGCCGUGAAGCGAGCCACCUGGGAAGUACGGCCGCAAGGCUGAAACUUAAAGGAAUUGGCGGGGGAGCAC